GCAAGGAAUUUUGCGCAAUGGGCGAAAGCCUGACGCAGCGACGCCGCGUGGGGGAUGAAGACCCUUGGGUUGUAAACCCCUUUUCCCGAAGAAGAAUUAUGACGGUACUCGGGGAAUAAGUCUUGGCUAACUACGUGCCAGCAGCCGCGGUAAUACGUAGGAGGCGAACGUUAUUCGGAUUUACUGGGCGUAAAGCGGGUGCAGACGGCUUUUUAAGUCGGUUGUGAAAUCUCCUGACUUAAUUGGGAGAAGCCAUUCGAUACUAUUAAGCUAGAGGACGGUAUAGGAAAGCGGAACUCCCGGUGUAGCGGUGAUAUGCGUAGAUAUCGGGAGGAACACCAGUGGCGAAGGCGGCUUUCUGGGCCGUUCCUGACGUUAAGACCCAAAAGCGUGGGGAGCAAAACGGAUUAGAAACCCGAGUAGUCC
rnacentral:rRNA from 1 species